UACAGAGGUCUCGAGCGUUUGUUCGGAUUCAUUGGGCGUAAAGGGUGCGUAGGCGGCGCGGUAAGUCGGGUGUGAAAUCUCGGAGCUUAACUCCGAAACUGCAUUCGAUACUGCCGUGCUUGAGGACUGGAGAGGAGACUGGAAUUUACGGUGUAGCGGUGAAAUGCGUAGAUAUCGUAAGGAAGACCAGUGGCGAAGGCGGGGUCUCUGGACAGUUCCUGACGCUGAGGCACGAAGGUCAGGGGAGCAAACGGG
rnacentral:rRNA from 1 species